rnacentral:lncRNA from 1 species
UUGAAUUAAUGUCUCAUCUUAUCUCAUUUGAUCUAGUAGUAUAACUUAUUGAUUUAAUGAUAAAAAUAAACGAGUAAACCCUCAUUUUGGUCCCUGAAAAUGUCGGGCGCUGUCACAUAAGUCCUUGAAUUAAUGAAAAUGAUAAAAAAGUCUUUGAUUGUUAACUCCGUUAGUCACUUUAGUCCAAAACGUUAAAUAUCAGUUAACUUUGGUGAUGUGUGUUAAAAUAUUAAAACACGUCAGCAGAAUUUUAAAACACGUCACCAAAGUUAACUGAUAUUAAAACAUCCUAGAAAGAAUGCCACAUCAGCAAAAUUUUAAGACACGUCACCAAAGUUAACUGAUAUUUAACGUUUUGGACUAAAGUGACUAACGGAGUUAACAAUCAGGGAUUUUUUUAUCAUUUUCAUUAAUUCAAGGACUUAUGUGACAGUGCCUGACACUUUCAGGGACCAAAAUGAUGAUUUACUCGAAAAUAAACUUGAACGUGGUGCAAGACAUUUUUAAGAUUUAUCCAUUAAAAGAAGAAUAAUUCAUUCAUGCAAAAGCUUAGGAUAAUACUAAAAAAUAAUCUCAUGCAAGUUUUGGUUACUCUAAUUUUAAUGUAUCUUGAUUUUUGAUUAAUUGUAGCAAAAUGGAAACUCUAUUCAUUCAUGCAAGAAUUGCUACAUACUUGAGAUUUUCACUCAAUAUUUGUAGUUGUGUUUUUACCAUAUUGACCCCAAAGAGAUAAAAGGGUAAAUGAAAGUCACAAACUUUCUACUUGCAUUUUAUUCACCACAAAAAAAUGCCUUCUAUCCCCCACAAGCUCAUGAUUGUCACAACAACCAUUGAACAAACUAUCCAACCCUGCAAAAUUGCAGAUCAAAAGGGGGGAAUAGUCGGUAUGUAUAAUAUAUUUCUCCAAAAAAAAUGGUCCAAAAGAUAAAUCAAACUUCGAGGAUUUCAUUCGUGCAAAGACUCGGACGAAGGUGUGCGAGAAUUUGAU